UGUGCAGGCGGUUCGGUAAGUUGGAUGUGAAAUCUCCUGGCUCAACUGGGAGAGGUCGUUCAAUACUGUCGGACUAGAGGGCGGUAGAGGGAGGUGGAAUUCCCGGUGUAGUGGUGAAAUGCGUAGAUAUCGGGAGGAACACCUGUGGCGAAAGCGGCCUCCUGGACCGUUCCUGACGCUCAUACACGAAAGCUAGGGGAGCGAACGGGAUUAGAAACCCCGGUAGUCCUAGCCGUAAACGAUGUGGACUGGGUGUCGGUGGGGUAAAAGCCAUCGGUGCCGAAGCCAACGCGAUAAGUCCACCGCCUGGGGACUACGGCCGCAAGGUUAAA
rnacentral:rRNA from 1 species